rnacentral:rRNA from 1 species
GACGAACGCUGGCGGCAUGCCUAACACAUGCAAGUCGAACGGAGAUUAUUUCGGUAAUCUUAGUGGCGAACGGGUGAGUAACGCGUGGGCAACCUGCCCUCUAGAUGGGGACAACAUCCCGAAAGGGGUGCUAAUGCCGAAUGUGACAGCAAUCUCGCAUGAGGAUGCUGUGAAAGAUGGCCUCUAUUUAUAAGCUAUCGCUAGAGGAUGGGCCUGCGUCUGAUUAGCUAGUUGGUGGGGUAACGGCCUACCAAGGCGAUGAUCAGUAGCCGGUCUGAGAGGAUGAACGGCCACAUUGGGACUGAGACACGGCCCAGACUCCUACGGGAGGCAGCAGUGGGGAAUCUUCCGCAAUGGGCGAAAGCCUGACGGAGCAAUGCCGCGUGAGUGAUGAAGGAAUUCGUUCCGUAAAGCUCUUUUGUUUAUGACGAAUGUGCAGAUUGUGAACAAUGAUCUGUAAUGACGGUAGUAAACGAAUAAGCCACGGCUAACUACGU